AGCAGCACCUGUAGUGCUAGUUGGGGGGUUAUUUGCUGUGUCUACAAAAAAAGGAGGAAAUCAACACAACAACAACAAUUAAUUGCUGACGUGGCUGGCUGGUGGGACAAACUGAGGAACCAGGCCCUAACACAAACCCAGGGUAGAGGUCCUGGGUGAAGGUGGACUGGAAGGUGUGGAUGUGUGUCAGUGUGUCUGAGGACCCUCCUACAUCUGGGGACACUCUGUAGAAGGACAGAGUGCCAGCAGGCCGGUCCAGA